GGGUCAGUAGGUUGGUCGUGCCACCGGUACGUACUGGUCUCACUUAUUCCUCCUUCCUGAAGACCCGUAAUGCCAUUAAUUUGGUGUUGCGGGGAAACAGGACUGUUACUUUGAAAAAAUUAGAGUGUUUAAAGCAAGCUAACGCUUGAAUACAUUAGCAUGGAAUAAUGAAAUAGGACGAUCGAUCCUAUUUUGUUGGUUUCUAGGAUUGACGUA
rnacentral:rRNA from 1 species